AUACAAUAUUAUAAUACAAGUCAUGCAACGGACAUUAUUUAUAUAUCACCACAAUAUAACUAUGUAUUACCUGCAUUCCAAGGCCCAGUCAAUAAACAGUUAUGUGGUGUGUGAUAUGAACCAACUUGGAAAAUGUACAUCCAAAUUGCAAAGCUGAAAUCAUCUUGAAUGAAAUUGAGAUAUUUUUACACCUUUGUUUUUUUAACUUAAAUUCUGCAAGUCGGUUUAUCUAGUGAAUAGUUCAUAUAUUUGAUUGUCAUAAAAAAAGUCAAUGUACUCCACAAUGUCAGUAAAUUCAAAGAAUAUCAG